UUGAAAUCUCCAUCUGAGCUAAGUUGCCUGCUAAACCUUAAACCACUGGACUUUCCAUUUCAGUGUUGUACCACCAGUAUCUUGUGCUUACUUGUCUUCCUACUGAGUGUCUCCAAUACCUGCUGAAGAAGUGUUAGUCAUAGGUGGUGCUAUCAACUACAUAUUCUCCAACAGCACCCUACCACCACCACCACCCGCUCCAGAGGGGCUGCUUCCUUCCAGCAAUCAGAACCACACACCUCCAUCUGCAACUCCAGUCAGGUUCCUAUGAAGAAUUUCUGUCUGAUGCCUGGCUGUAACACAGUGAUGGCUUCUACCCUGGAGAGCAGGGGAUGAGCCCUGAGGGCAAGGAGACCGCCUUGCUGUUCGUUUUUGUGGCCACCGGGUGUCAUUCUAGGAGCAGACUUUGGGCAGCCUGGGAGCAUUAGUAUGGCAGCAGCACUGGAGGCUUCACACAGUAAGUUGCUUUGCACCAAAACGGCCUCUAAAGCAAUGAUCAUUUACCUUUUGUAUCUAUUUUUUAAGAAAUAAUCGUUCUAAAGGACGUGUCGUUAAUUUUCCUUUUUU
rnacentral:lncRNA from 1 species